rnacentral:rRNA from 1 species
AAAAACUGAGGUGGUAUACGAUGGUUCCGCGUCUGAUUAGCUAGUUGGUGGGGUAAAAGCCUACCAAGGCAACGAUCAGUAGCCGGCCUGAGAGGGUGAACGGCCACAUUGGGACUGAGACACGGCCCAAACUCCUACGGGAGGCAGCAGUGGGGAAUAUUGCACAAUGGGGGAAACCCUGAUGCAGCGACGCCGCGUGAGUGAAGAAGUAUUUCGGUAUGUAAAGCUCUAUCAGCAGGGAAGAAAUACUGACCAUAGGGUCAGCAGACGGUACUUGACUAAGAAGCCCCGGCUAACUACGUGCCAGCAGCCGCGGUAAUACGUAGGGGGCAAGCGUUAUCCGGAUUUACUGGGUGUAAAGGGAGCGUAGACGGCAGCGCAAGUCUGAAGUGAAAUGCCAGGGCUUAACCCUGGAACUGCUUUGGAAACUGUGCAGCUAGAGUGCAGGAGAGGUAAGUGGAAUUUCUAGUGUAGCGGUGAAAUGCGUAGAUAUUAGGAGGAACACCAGUGGCGAAGGCGGCUUACUGGACUGUAACUGACGUUGAGGCUCGAAAGCGUGGGGAGCAAACAGGAUUAGAUACCCUGGUAGUCCACGCUGUAAACGAUGAUUACUAGGUGUUGGGGGACCAAGAUUCUUC